rnacentral:rRNA from 1 species
CAUGGAAACCUAAAAGGCUUGAAUUAAGGGAGAGGAAAAGGGAAUUCCUUAGGGUGGGGGGAAAAGGGGUGAAAUUUGGAAGAAACCCCCCGGGGGGGAGGGGGGCCUUUUUGUUUUGCCAACUACCGCUGGGGCUGGAAGGCCUGGGGUAGGGGAACCAGGAUUAGAUCCCCCGGUAGUCCCCGCCGUAAACGAAGAGUGUUAAGUGUUGGGGAGGUUUCCGCCCUUUCAAUGCGGCGGCUAACCCAUUAAGCACUCCCCCUGGGGAGUUCGACCGCAAGGUUGAAACUCAAAGGAAUUGACGGGGGCCCGCACAAGCGGUGGAGCAUGUGGUUUAAUUUGACGCAACGCGAAGCACCUUACCAGCUCUUGACAUCUUCUGUUCACCCUAGAGAUAGGGCUUCCCCUUCGGGGGCAGAAAGACAGGUGGUGCAUGGUUGUCGUCAGCUCGUGUCGUGAGAUGUUGGGUUAAGUCCCAUAACGAGCGCAACCCUUAUUGUUAGUUGCCAGCAUUCAGUUGGGCACUCUAGCGAGACUGCCGGUGAUAAACCGGAGGAAGGUGGGGAUGACGUCAAAUCAUCAUGCCCCUUAUGAGCUGGGCUACACACGUGCUACAAUGGACGGUACAACGGGUAGCGAGGGCGCGAGCCUUAGCAAAUCCUAAUAAGCCGUUCUCAGUUCGGAUUGUUCUCUGCAACUCGAGAGCAUGAAGCCGGAAUCGCUAGUAAUCGCGGAUCAGAAUGCCGCGGUGAAUACGUUCCCGGGUCUUGCACACACCGCCCGUCA